GGGGCGGAUCCGCCCUCAGGUCGCUAGAUCCGCCCUCAGGUCGCCAGGUCGCUAGAUCCGCCCGCAGGUCGCUAGAUCCGCCCUACUGCCGCACUCGGUUUGGUCAUGUGAACCGGAUCCACCCGCAUCUGCAUCCGGUUCACACAGCGGCGGUUGUUCUAAAUCGUUGCUCCUCUGACUUCUGCGCCUCGACUUUCCAAACUGGAAUUUUCAAACCUGCAGCUCUUCGCGCCAGACAUAUUACUUAGUUUUACAGAAGUGUUCAUCAGGAUCGAUCUCUACAAUUCAGCAAAACAGUAGCAGUCGUGCCACAAAGCUGGUACAGUGGUGGUGGCUGCGUUUGGCCAGAUUACCCGAGGGAUGAAAGGGUGGACAAGGCGGUCCGAAGUGCCGAAGAACCUCAACCUGACUGGCAGACACAUUAUGUCAGAAUAAUUAGAUCAUGCGAUGAUUACUUGGUGGCAAGGCGAUGGUUAACAAAAUAUAUGUCCUGUGACACAUCUGAUCUCCAUUCAGAAGAGGAGGCAAUUCCUAAAAGGAGAAAGCCAAUGCCUGUCCAUUUCUUUGGGGACUCGGAUGCAGACAGCGAGACUGAAAAUCGCCACCCCAAAAAAAAAAAGGGUCCAACCACUAGCAGGACAGUUGCCCCUCCUCCAACUAUUGCCCCUCCUCCACCUCUUGCCCCUCCUCCACCACGGACUUCAUCACCAGCAGGACAGCGAACAAGCCAUGCAGGGUACACACCAACCUGGCGAGGUGUGGUUCAGACACCAUUGCCUGCUGUGCUGCUCAAGUUCAAAUGAUGGCCAUGCUGGAGACGCUUACACAGCAGGUCCAUCAAUUAACACAGCAGGUCCAUCAAUUAACUUCCAAAAUUGACAGCUUUGUUCGCCCCAGCGUGACACAAAUGUCUGGUCAAGAAGUGGAGUGGAGAGACCCGUUUCCGUUGACCACAAUGGAGGAAGUGGACAUGUUUGAGCAACAGCUCAAAGAUCCAGCCAACGCUUUAAUGAAGAAGAGUGUGACUUCAUCACCAGCAGGACAGCGAACAAGCCAUGCAGGGUACACACCAACCUGGCGAGCGGCGAGGUGUGGUUCAGACGCCAUCGCCUGCUGUGCUCAAAGAUCCAGCCAACGCUAUAAUGAAGGAGAGUGGUGAGUUGUUGUUUUUUUAACCCUUGUGUUGCCUUAGGGUCAUUUUGACCCGAUUCAAUGUUUCACCCUCCUGUUACCUUUAUAUUUACUAACAUAUUUUACCCUUUGGGUUCAAUUUGACGCCAGCAAUUAAAACCUCCAGAAAAUUAUUAGAAUUAAUAUUGUUUUCCAAGUUUAAGUGUGAGGCACUUUAUGUUUGUUUGUUGACUACCGAAAGAACACCGACAUUAAACAUUGAAUGGGGUCAAAUUAAUCCUAAGGCGGGGGGAGGG